GGGCGGUUAACUCAGCGGUAGAGUGCCACCUUCACACGGUGGAAGUCACUGGUUCGAUCCCAGUACCGCCCACCA
rnacentral:tRNA from 11 species